UCCUUUAUUGUUUGUAUUUUAUCAGCUCUCCUGUAUCGGAUUCAGGAAAUUUUUUUCAUCCAUAUUUUCCAAAUGGUUGGUAUUUUCCCUCUGACAAACACUCNNNNNNNNNNNNNNNNNNNNNNNNNNNNNNNNNNNNNNNNNNNNNNNNNNNNNNNNNNNNNNNNNNNNNNNNNNNNNNNCUUCUUGGCUAUUAUUUCAGCACUGUGUAAUGGAAAAUUUCACAAACACUUGCAAGAGAUCUUUGUGCCCUUGGUUGUCCGCUACGUGGAUCUCAUGGAGUCCUCCAUCGCCCAGUCAGUUCACAGAGGUUUUGAGCAAGAAACAUGGCAGCCUGUCAAGAAUAUCGCCAACAGUCUUCCCAAUGUAGCUCUUCCAAAAGUUCCAAGUCUGCCUCUUAAUCUUCCACAGAUUCCUAACUUUUCUACUCCUUCAUGGAUGGCUUCUUUAUAUGAGUCCACCAAUGGCUCAGCAACAUCAGAAGAUCUUUUUUGGAAACUUGAUGCACUUCAAAUGUUUGUCUUUGAUCUUCACUGGCCAGAACAAGAAUUUGCCCAUCACUUAGAACAAAGACUUAAACUAAUGGCCAGUGACAUGAUAGAGGCCUGUGUCAAAAGAACAAGAACUGCAUUUGAACUUAAACUGCAAAAGGCAAACAAAACAACUGACUUGCGCAUUCCAGCUUCUGUGUGCACAAUGUUUAAUGUAUUAGUUGAUGCCAAAAAACAAAGCACCAAGCUCUGUGCCCUAGAUGGAGGACAGGAGCAACAGUACCAUUCAAAAAUAGAUGAUUUGAUUGACAACACUGUAAAAGAAAUCAUUUCACUGCUAGUUUCAAAGUUUGUUUCAGUGUUGGAAGGGGUAUUGUCCAAGCUGUCAAGGUAUGAUGAAGGCUCAUUCUUUUCAUCCAUUCUGUCAUUCACUGUGAAAGCAGCGGCAAAAUAUGUUGAUGUUCCUAAACCAGGAAUGGAUCUGGCAGACACCUAUAUUAUGUUUGUGCGGCAAAACCAGGACAUUCUUCGAGAAAAGGUCAAUGAAGAAAUGUAUAUAGAAAAGUUGUUUGAUCAAUGGUACAGCAAUUCCAUGAAAGUCAUUUGCGUGUGGUUGGCUGAUAGAUUAGAUCUCCAGCUUCAUAUUUAUCAACUGAAGACUCUCAUCAAGAUUGUAAAGAAAACUUACAGGGACUUUCGACUGCAGGGGGUAUUGGAAGGAACACUGAACAGUAAGACCUAUGAUACUCUGCACAGUCGCCUCACAGUGGAAGAGGCCACUGCCUCUGUUUCUGAAGGAGGAGGGCUUCAGGGCAUUACUAUGAAAGACAGUGAUGAAGAAGAGGAGGCCUGAUGACAUGUAGUGCUGGAGAAGAAAGGAAGACAUUGACACUGUUUUUUGUACCUUGUCCUUGUAAUUAUAUUUAUUGUCUGAACCAAAUAAAAAUGCUUGUAUUUCUUUAAGAAGGAAACUUGAAGUUAGAGCUAAAAGGGAAAAUGCCAAGUAUUUUUUGGAACAUCAUUCUCUUUUGUGUAGCUUGACCUAGAAUGAGCUUUGACACUGUUUGUGAUUGGAACGUGAAUUUUUUUCUUUUUAAAGCAAAUUUUACCUUUUUUUUCUGUAAUCACAUCAAAGCAAUGUCCUGUGUGUAAAGUGAAACAUGUGUUUUCCAUAAUACAAUACCAUGAUAAGCCACUUCUGAUCACUGCAGCAACUCUACCGCACUUUUGUUAAAAUGUUGUGUACCUUACAGUUUAUAAUUUAUGUGCCAGGUUGGUUUUCUAGUUAUUUUGCCAGUGUUGUGAUGUGUAUAAAAACUUUAAUGGUCUUUAUUACCUUGAAUUGGUCGGCAGGUAUAAUCCUGGGCUUAAAGGACUACCAAACCCAAAUAUAGACUAGAUUAUCCAAUGGGCUUGUGUCUUGUUCCAUUCUGAACAUUUAAGUGUAAGAAAUUCCAAGGUGUGCUUCCAUCAACAUACCGUAUUCCUACUUCUAAGUAUAAGAGCUUGCUGGCAAUAAAAAUCCAUUUGGUCCUAACAACCUGUAUUUAUUAGACUUAUAUAGAUUAAAUGCAGUAGAAGAUGUUUGCAGUACUUCAAACAUUUGUGUUUGGCUCUUUUUGUUUUUAAUCAAAUAAAAGGUCUUAACUCUAUUUUGUACCUCAUAGGCAGAAAGAUCUGUUUGAAAAACUUACCAUGACAGAAAACAUUCAUAAGAGAAAAUACCAUAUAUUCAAAUGGUAUAUAUGAUUAGCUAAUGUUAGCAUUUAAUGUUAGCUAAUAAUUAGUAUUAUUAACAAUGCUAAUACAGUAAUGUUUAAGAGUUGGCAUCAUUAGUAGUAAUUACCUAAAAGUAUUUUCUUGCUAAGAUUUUGAAAGAUAACAGUAUUAUGCUUUGUAAUUCGUGAAUUUUUUUGUAAUUUUUCCUAAGAUAUACUGGCAUAUUAUACUACUACACCAAUUUAUAAGUGAUAUUUUUGAGCCAGGGACUCACUAUGUUCCCCAGAUUGGCCUCAAACUCCUGGGAGUAGGUAAGACUACAGAGGCAUGCCACCAUACCUCGCUACAUUUGUAAGUAAUUUUUAAAUGAAGGCAGUUAAUACAAGAUAGUGUAAUCCACAGUUUUAUAUAGGAAUACUUUGGGCUCAACUGUUAGGUCCUGGGAUAACAAGAUAAACAUGAAAGAAAGCAGUUUCCUUCCCUUUCCUGGUUAGACGAACUCUACAAAGUCAGUGUUUUUGAAAGGCAGUUUUGGGGUUCCCUCCCUGUCUUCUCCAUUGCCACACCCAGUACCCUGCAGGUGCCCAGCCAGUCUACCCUAAACUCAGAUUUGUGUGGCCCAGACUGGGUACCUAAUCAGUAUUUAUAACAUCGUAGGAGAACAAAUUUGGAGACCCAAUGUGUUUUAUUUCUAAAGAUUUAGAACAUGACUUUUCAUACAUGUGCAGAUACCUCUCCAAGGUUUCUCCCCACAGGUCAAAUUGGUCUAUACUUAAAAAUUACCCACCCUUCCUUCUGUUUCUUUCCUUUUUUUUUCUUUGUGUGUGUGUGCACGCACAGACAUGUACACACACUCUGAAGAUUGAACCCAGGACCUCACUCCUACUAAGAAUACACUCUACUGCUGAGUGGCCCCCGGUCUCCCUUCUUUUCCUUUAAACAAAAUGCCCAUUUCCUUAACAGGGCUUAUCUCAGUGUAACUGAUCUGUGUUGGGCUAAAGUGUGAGAAGCUGACAACCACCCAACUUUACUGGAACUGUUUAAAAACAUUCAAAAGGACUCCAAAAUUUGUUGUGAUAGGAUUCAAACACAAUGAAGGGAUGCGGGGGGUGUAGGGGAAAGUAUCUGGGGUCCAGACGUCCUUGCUACUGGUGCAUUUGUCCACCUACCUGCUGGCCUCUUGGAAGUUCUGUCCAGAUUUAGGUGUCCUUCCCUCCUACCUUCCACACCUAGGAGAUUUUUAAAAGAUGCCUACCCUGCCUCGAACCCCCAUCCAUACACACCAAGAGCAAUAGCAAUCAGGGCAUAUCAUAGAGCUGCUCUCAAUUUUUAGGACUACCUGUACUGACCUAUGAGCCAAAAAAUGAAA
rnacentral:lncRNA from 1 species